rnacentral:sRNA from 1 species
UCACCUUGUUCUUUAACUGCCUCUUUGAU